CAUGAAGCUGGAAUCGCUAGUAAUCGCGAAUCAGCAUGUCGCGGUGAAUACGUUCCCGGGUCUUGUACACACCGCCCGUCACACCAUGGGAGUUGGUAACGCCCGAAGUCAGUGACCUAACCGCAAGGGAGGAGCUGCCGAAGGUGGGGCCAGUAACUGGGGUGAAGUCGUAACAAGGUAGC
rnacentral:rRNA from 1 species